CUCAGCCGGGCUGAGCGCGCUCCUCGCGGGCGCGGGGCGCGCGGUCCUCCAGGUACCGGGUACCUGUGGCGGCGGCUCCUGCUGGCUCCUGUGGUACCAGAAUCCCGACCCCGGGGACCCCCUCACCCGUCGCCGCGAGGACGGGCUCCUACCAUCCCCUCCCCUUCCCGAGCGGGGCGCCGUGAGCAGGAGCAGAUGGAGCGGCAGUAGCCGCCCCUGGGGACUUCGGGAAGCCGGAGCGUAGGCUCCGGAGCGAGGAGAAGAAGAAGCUGCAGACUUCAGGGAUGGAGGCGCGGAGGCUGACAGCCAGCCUGGGAGCGGUGGCAGGGACUCCACCACACCAAGGCUGCUCCGUUGUCCUGACCGCCCCAGCCGAUAUUUGCUGAGUGCCUAAUUUGUUCCAGGCACUGAUCAAAAGGUGUGUGUGAAGUGGUACAAAAAGUUAUGAACAUUCCUAUGAGGCAGUAGAAGAUCCUUGUCGUCUGAUGACAAAACUGCUAAAGAAGUAAAGAACUCACUUGAAUGAAAUCACCAACCAUGGAAAUUGGAAUGCUGAGUAUGCUGUUAAUACAGUGUUAAUGCCAUGAUAGUUACCUGAAAAAAAAAAAAAAAAAAGAAAAAGAAAAAAAAAUGAAAACCUGUCUACCUGUCUAAUGCUCCCAGUUUUACUUUACUGGAAUUUUCUCCUUCUCUUUCUCCCUCUCUCUGUCUGUCUCUCUCUUUUUUUCUCACCAUGAUGUCCAUUUGUGGUAGAGCGGCAACAACAGCAAUAACAACAACUACAGUCGGGGGCCAAACUGCCAGAAACCAAGGAUGAGAAAGACUACCCCUCCUUGCCCAGUACUCUUCUGUGCCGCUGGGUUUUCUCUGGCAGGAAUGCUUCACUUAUUUCCUCAAGAGCUGUAGAGCUGGGAGCACAGCAGUUUUCCUAGAACCAGAGGCAGUAGGCGUCUGCUUCCCUUGCGGCUCAUGUUCUCACUCAGCAACCAAGCAUGUCUUUAUCCCGGUGGAAGUUCAGACGGCCUUUCCCUUCCUGUCUCAGCAGCUGCUGCCCCAGCCUCAGACCCAGUCAUGACAAGUAUGGCUGCUGCGUGGAGCACAUCUUCUGAGCCCCUCAGAAAAUUCAGAGAGCCUCUCAGAGAAUAAAGCUUUGGAUUGGACUGUGGCUUCGGCCAUGACUCUUUUUCCUAGCAAACUGGUGCUGGAUGAAACAAGGUGCAAACUGUAAUCCAGUCACAAAGGCCAAAGGUUGAGGAAGAAAUUGCCAUUUCUCCUUCCUGCUUGCACUCAAGAGUCUGUCUCCCGAAUCCUUGUUAGAGUUAUUGGUAUCCUGGCUUUAUACAUACACCCUGGUAUUUGAGUGCAUAAACUGGUGCUCACAGCAUUGGUUUGAAGUUAGUGGUUCUGUCACCACUCUAGCUGUAUGACUUGGACAUUCAGUUAAUCUCUGUGAGUCUCAACCUUCUCACCUGUAUGAUGGGAGUAGUCCUGUCUGUCCUGCUUACCUGGUCAAAUAAAAUCUCAGCUUUGUAACUCUGAAACCUUAGGGUCCCAUACCUGGGUAGGAAGCUUGCCUGUUAUUUAACACAGCUUUUGUCUGCUGCAUGUGACCAUCCCCUCACCAGCCUCCUGCACAGAUGAUCCUCCAGAUUCAGACUGAGGUCUGACUGGUGGGGGAGCUGCCCUCCUCAGGAGCUCUGACUGUGGGAAAGUUGUGCCAGGCUGAAAUCUGAACCCUCCAAUAACUUUUACCUGCUGGUUUCUGCUUCAUCUCUGGAUCCAACAGUUCAUUUAAUCUCAAAGUCUUUAUAUUGAAGACUACUGUAAAAAAAUACAGUCAAUUUUUUUAAACUGGGUAUCAAGUCAUUUUUUCAGUUCCUUUGCCUGCUCUGCCCUUGAGAUUCUGAUCUGGAUUGACUACGUGGAACAGAACAUGGUACCCAGUGUUCCUGAACAUUCUCAAGGGUCCUUGUGGCAUCGGUUAUAAAAUUUUUCCUGAUGAUCCCUAGAAGAAAGUGUGAUUAUUACUAAUGAUAGGUGUCCCCACACAUAGUGGGUCUACUCAAAUCCUAGAGCCAUAAUUGUAAAAGCAGGUUUCUUAACAUGUUUUAAAUUAUUUUAACUUGGAAAUAAUUUCCCCCUCUAUUACCUUGGAUUAUUUUUUAUUCUGAAAAAUAAUAAAGAUGAAUUAAAUUUAAUAAA